rnacentral:rRNA from 1 species
AUAAAAGAAAGUAAAUAAGGGCGCAUGGCGGAUGCCUUGGCUCUCGGAGGCGAUGAAGGACGUGAUAAGCUGCGAUAAGCUUCGGGUAGGUGCAAAUGACCUUUGAUCCGAAGAUUUCCGAAUGGGACAACCCGGCAUUCUGAAGGAAUGUCAUCCAACUUGGUUGGAGGCUAACGCAGGGAACUGAAACAUCUUAGUACCUGCAGGAAAAGAAAAUAAAUAAUGAUUCCCCUAGUAGUGGCGAGCGAACGGGGAUUAGCCCAAACCACCCAUGUUACGGCAUGUGUGGGGUUGUAGGACCACGCUCUCGCAAGACAGUUAUUGAGAAGAAACGACUGGAAAGUCGUGCCAUAGACGGUGAUAGCCCGGUAUUCUAAGGUAACCGAAGCGUAGUGGUAUCCUGAGUAGCGCGGAGCACGAGGAAUUCUGCGUGAAUCAGCCGGGACCAUCCGGUAAGGCUAAAUACUCCCGAGAGACCGAUAGCGAACCAGUACUGUGAAGGAAAGGUGAAAAGCACUUCGAAUAGAAGAGUGAAAUAGUCCCUGAAACCAUGCGCCUACAAGCGGUCGGAGCAGCUUCAGCUGUGACGGCGUGCCUUUUGCAUAAUGAACCUACGAGUUACUUUUUCCGGCAAGGUUAAGCAUCUUGAGAUGUGGAUCCGAAGCGAAAGCGAGUCUGAACAGGGCGGAUAGUCGGAAGGAGUAGACGCGAAACCAAGUGAU